rnacentral:rRNA from 1 species
UGGGGGAUAUUGCACAAUGGGCGAAAGCCUGAUGCAGCGACGCCGCGUGGGGGAUGAAGGCUUUCGGGUUGUAAACCUCUUUCGCUAUCGAACAAGGCCCGCUUAGGGUGGGUUGAGGGUAGGUGGAGAAGAAGCGCCGGCUAACUACGUGCCAGCAGCCGCGGUAAUACGUAGGGCGCGAGCGUUGUCCGGAAUUAUUGGGCGUAAAGGGCUUUUAGGCGGCUUGUUGCGCCUGCUGUGAAAACGCGGGGCUUAACUUCGCGCGUGCAGUGGGUACGGGCAGGCUUGAGUGUGGUAGGGGUGACUGGAAUUCCAGGUGUAGCGGUGGAAUGCGCGGAUAUCUGGAGGAACACCGAUGGCGAAGGCAGGUCACUGGGCCAUUACUGACGCUGAGGAGCGAAAGCAUGGGGAGCAAACAGG